rnacentral:rRNA from 1 species
AGAGUUUGAUCCUGGCUCAGGAUGAACGCUGGCGGCGUGCCUAACACAUGCAAGUCGAACGGAGUUACGAUGAACCUAAGUGAUUCGUAACUUAGUGGCGGACGGGUGAGUAACGCGUGGAUAACCUGCCUUACACUGGGGGAGUAACACUUAGAAAUAGGUGCUAAUACCGCAUAAGCGCACGGAGCCGCAUGGCUUAGUGUGAAAAACUCCGGUGGUGUAAGAUGGAUCCGCGUCUGAUUAGCUGGUUGGCGGGGUAGAAGCCCACCAAGGCGACGAUCAGUAGCCGGCCUGAGAGGGUGAACGGCCACAUUGGGACUGAGACACGGCCCAAACUCCUACGGGAGGCAGCAGUGGGGAAUAUUGCACAAUGGGGGAAACCCUGAUGCAGCAACGCCGCGUGAGUGAAGAAGUCAUUCGUGAUGCAAAGCUCUAUCAGCAGGGAAAGAAAAUGACGGUACCUGAGUAAGAAGCCCCGGCUAACUACGUG